CGUCCUCCUCCCAUUUUCACCUCAAAAUUUUGGGGAAGCUGUGCCUCCCCUGCAUCCCCGGACGAGCCGCCACUGACUGGAUCAUUGACU